rnacentral:rRNA from 1 species
UCAGCUUGUUGGUGAGGUAAUGGCUCACCAAGGCGACGACGGGUAGCCGGCCUGAGAGGGUGACCGGCCACACUGGGACUGAGACACGGCCCAGACUCCUACGGGAGGCAGCAGUGGGGAAUAUUGCACAAUGGGCGCAAGCCUGAUGCAGCAACGCCGCGUGAGGGAUGACGGCCUUCGGGUUGUAAACCUCUUUUAGUAGGGAAGAAGCGAAAGUGACGGUACCUGCAGAAAAAGCCCCGGCUAACUACGUGCCAGCAGCCGCGGUAAUACGUAGGGUGCAAGCGUUGUCCGGAAUUAUUGGGCGUAAAGAGCUCGUAGGCGGUUUGUCGCGUCUGCUGUGAAAACUGGAGGCUCAACCUCCAGCCUGCAGUGGGUACGGGCAGACUAGAGUGCGGUAGGGGAGAUUGGAAUUCCUGGUGUAGCGGUGGAAUGCGCAGAUAUCAGGAGGAACACCGAUGGCGAAGGCAGAUCUCUGGGCCGUAACUGACGCUGAGGAGCGAAAGCGUGGGGAGCGAACAGGAUUAGAUACCCUGGUAGUCCACGCCGUAAACGUUGGGAACUAGAUGUGGGGACCAUUCCACGGUCUCCGUGUCGCAGCUAACGCAUUAAGUUCCCCGGCUGGGGAAAACA